UUUUAUGGUUCAUUGCUUCAUCUGUAGUUCGUUGAACAAAAAUCCAGAAGACAGAAACCCUAAUCUCUCAAACUUGAGAUUUUUUCUUUCGAUACAUACCAUAUUAGUAAGUUAGCUUAUUACUUUCGUAGUUUUUGUCUCCAAUUCUGAAAUUCCUUCGACCUGCUCUUUGAAUGUUUUAUGACUGUUAUAUGUUUCAGAUUACUGCUCAAGAGUUAUCAAAUCAGGGCUAGAAAUUGGUGUGAUUCCACUGUUGAGGUAAGUUUAAGUAUAGGGUUUGUUAAUUGGAACCCUUCAACUUGCUCCUUGAAUGAUGUUGUUGUUGUUUGUCCUUUGAUUCAUAGAAAUGGUGUAACCCUAAUGUAAUAAAACUUAUGAUAAUGCUCAGGAGGCAGUCACAUAAUUGGUGUUGAUCAGGAGGCAGGAUAUGAUAUUGUUGGUGUUGAUCAGGAGGUAGGACAAGAGUUUGUUGCUUCGAUUGCUGAGGUAAGCUUAUAUAUUGUAAACAGUUAGACACUUAGACUGUUAGAAGUUGUUGAGAAGUUUAAUGUUAGAAUCUUAAUACUGAACUGGUAGGUGAAAGGGUGAAAUCUGUAGUUUCUGAUUUGGUACUUGAGUACCAACGAAAAUCAGCCCAAAAUAUAGGUUCUUCAAGCAAUUCGGUUCCAAAUUCUUCUGCCAACGAUAUGGAUUUUGAUCGAUUUGUAAGCCAAAGAGAGAAAUCAAGACCUUUUUUAUUAACCACUAAAUUGGAUCACUAUCUAGUCGAUGAAUUACAUCCUAGGACACCUGAAUUUGAUUUGCUUGGGUGAUGGAAAAAUGGUGGUGUGAAGUAUCCCAUUUUGCAAUGCAUUGUACCAGAAUCAGCCUUUAGUUCCGGUGGGAGGCUUCUUGAUCCCCAUCGGAGUAGGCCGCAACUUUCAACGGUCGAGGCAAUGAUGUGUUGUAAGAGCUAGAUGCAAAAUGAUAUGCAUGUAGGUAUUAUUAUUAAUGAUGUAAUUUUUUUGUUUCAAGUCUUUUUAGUUUAUGUUCUGGUUUCUGAAGUUUCUGUUGUUCUAGCUGAAGAGGAAAUGAAACGACUCGAAGGUGUGUUCUCAACCAUGGCAAUGGAGGAUUCGACAGUUGAAGAUGCAUCUGGUAAGUUAGUCUUUACAUUGCUAGUUUCUUUACUAUCUCUACUGCUGUUUAUACACUUCUACACUAAUUCUAACUGUAUAACAGAUGGAGAAGGUACAACUCAGCAACUGCAAGGGGAUGGAGAUGAUGUUGCAGCUGUUACAAACCUUGACGACUAGUUCAAGGUUUGUGUUCUAACUGGCAACCUCCACUAUAAAUGUUUAUGUAUCGUAUAUGGAUGUUGCUGAUUGUUGCUGAUACAUAAUACAUCACUGAUUAUUUUGGCAAAUAUAGACUUUUGAUGAGUGAUGAAUGCUACUAAAUUACUGAUG
rnacentral:lncRNA from 1 species